rnacentral:lncRNA from 1 species
UUACUCCGUUCCCCGACUAGUCCCGGCUACGUUCUCAUUUCCUGAAGAGAACAAUGAAAGCAAAAAGGUGAGCUCAACUAGCCCAGUAAGAAAUAUUAUGACUAAGAUAAUGCAGAAUAAUUUAUCGUUAGCCUUCAACAGUGUUAAACUGAUAAAAUAUAACAAACAUCAAGUUUAACUGCAGCGGAACAAGCAAUCCAUUAGAAGAGUCAAGUAAAGCAUAAAAUCUACUAUCUUCUAUGAUUUAAAAGGUUUUUCAUCACUUUUAUCGCUGAAACUCAGCUUAAUAAAUAAUUCACAUCAUCGAAUCACCUCUGCACUACGGCCAAGGAUAUUCUUUAGUAUCACGACCACAAAUUAUCCAUGCACUACGGGCCAAGGAUAUUCGUGUAUUCAUCAAUGGUCACGAUCAUGCCAACAACUGUCCAUCAAUGCACUACGGGCCAAUGAGGAUUUUUACCACAUUAUUGUAACAUUACGGUCAUGAUUAUACCGAAUAAUCCUUGGUCAUAAUCAUACCAAGUCCAUCUAUGCACUACAGGCCACAGAUGACUUUCAACAGAAUAUAAACAUGAGGAUGAUGACAAUGAUAUAAGAAUUCAAUAAAACAAGUUCAAGGAUAAAUUUUUAAAGAUUUAUAAUUUAAUUUAUCCAGAAAUCAAUAACGUCCAAAUUGUCAACAUGAUAUUGCUUUGUGAAGUAAAAUUCAAGAAUAAUAUUGUACCAAAAAUAAUUUAGACCGAAAACGAAUAAAUUUUUAUCAUGAAUAGUACCCCGGAUGAAUAGUACUUGAGUUAAUAGUACUCCGUGAAUAGUAUUUCGGGAAUAAUAACCCCGUGAAUAGUACUCCGGCAUGAAAAAAUUAAAACUUAUCAAGAAUGCUCAGAAUAAUAUUUCCAUGAAAAGAUACUGGAUGAAGCGCAAAUAUCAAGGAUAUUCUACUAAUUUUAUGGAGUAUAGAAGCCAAAAUUUUAACAAAACGAGUAUAGAAUUCGAAAUCUGAAAUAAUAUUAUUUACAUACUACAGAGUAUGGAAGAAAAUGUUAUUUCAAGCGAAUAUUGAACAAAAAUAACAUCCCUUACCUUGAAAAGAAGAGUAUUCCAACUGGUAUAGCGGGGAUAUUCUUGAAGAAAACUUUCACUAUUUUCUACGCUCAAAACUUUCUAAAACUCGAAAGAAAUACGCUCAAUAUUAUAGAAGAAGAAUUCUCUAAUUCUGGUGUGAUUUUCAAUUUUAACUUAAGCGCCUAUUUAUAGGAAAAUGCUAGAACGCCAUAGGAGACUAAAUAAUAAAAUAAUAAUAUUUUUUUUUCACGCACAUUUUCUUGACCAAAACUCAGCCACCACUAGUGGGCCCCGCCAAAUUCAGCAACUUUCCACACCAACAAAAAAGUGGGGUUCACCAUGUUUUUAAUAAAAAUAUUUAUUUUCUAAAACUUUAAUAAUUCAUAAAAAAUAGCCCCUUUAUCAGAAAAAUACGAAUUUUAUGUCCAUUUCACACGAAAUUGAAUUCUCUACAACUUUGCAGAAGAAAGUUUUUUCAAAUUCCAAACAGAAAAUAUCCGAAUUUCACAAACGUACAAUUUUCAACACCUCUUAAAAUUCAUAACAAAUCAUACGUUAAUUUUUAACGGUUCAAAAUUUGUAGACAUAUACUCAACUUAUAUAUGCAUAACAUAUCCAAAAAUUACAACGAUUCAACGGUCGGAUUAAAAUUAUAACUCACGCAAUAGAGCUUUAAGAACACCGAUUUGAUUUUUUAAUACCUCCAAUCCGAUAAAAUACUGAUAAAAUACCUCAACAUUAAUUCUUUCAUUUAUAACCACAUAAAAUAAAUAUUUUCCUAUCCAUCAUUUAUGUCCACAUAAAAUAAAUAUUUUCUUAUCCUACAAAUCAAUAACUAAUUAUUCCCAAAUAAUAUUACAGAAUCACAAUAAUGACAAUCAGACCGUUCCCAGGAAAGAGGGGGCUUUCCGAUAAGGAUUUCUCCUUACUGGCUCGCAAUUAGGUGACCAAACAUCUCCUUGAUAGAACUUUCUAGACAUUGCCAAUAAUGCUAUCUAAUAAUAUUAUUCAAAUAAUAUGAAUUAUUAAUUUGAUAAUGGAAAAUACUGUGCAGUGAUAAUUAUUGAAACAACAAUAAUAUAAAAUAUUAACGCAACAAUUAUUGAAUUAAUAAAAUAAAAUAUUGAACAGUAAUUACUGUAACAAUUAUUGAGUAGUGUCUUCUUACGUAAGAAUUAAUAAUUCAAAAAUACUGUGCAAUACCGUGUGCUACUGUGCAACCCCGCAUAUUACUAUAUUUUAACCACCGGGUAUUCUAACAGUUAACGGUAAAACUUUCGCCGUUAUUUUUAUAAAAAGAUAUUUUUGUCGUUUUUUCAAUCCGACAAUAAUUUCGUUGUGGGGUCCACCAGUGAUUGUGUCGUCGUACGAAUAUUCUUUGUUAAAACGAAUAUUCUUUGACCAAUCGAAUAUAAUAUAACAACUUGCGUACUUUGUAAAAUUUAUAAAUAUUAUCCACAACUAUAACAUUAUAUUAAAUUCACUCCAUAAUAUUCAAAAAUGAUAUUUAUAGAAAAUUUAUCUUUAUUCAUAAAAGUUGGGGUCUUACAUUUUUUGCUAGUUAGAACUCGGUGAUACUCUACGAACCCUGUCCGAUCACGUGCUAUGUGGUCCGUUGCUCCAGAAUCUACAAUUCACACAUUGAGAGAAUGAGCAACGGAAUAGAGUGGAGGACACUAAACACAUAGUUUGAUCAAGACAAGUUAUUACCUUCUUCGACUCAGUGCAGUCACGAGCGAAGUGUCCUGCUGUGCCACAGUUGUAACAAAUCAACUUGACAUUGUCUUUCUCACUAGCCUCUGCAACCUUUUGAGGCUCAUUAGCAUUAGCAAUCUCUAUUUGUUGAGCAUUUAGGCGUUCAUCUUCUAGUUGUUUAGUCUUUAAAUGCUCAACCACCAGCUGCUCAACUUUUAAGCCCUCAAGGUGAUAAAAAAUAUCUUCCAAAGAUUUAAUGUUUUCAUUUUGAGCUAUGUUAACCUUGAGAUUGUUCCAAUUGUCGGGAAAUGAGCAUAUCACUGUUCGAAUUUGUUGGUCAUCUGACAAAGGGUUGACAACAUCUCCUAACGUUUUAAUCAUAUUGGUAGUUAAGAGAUGCAAUCUAGUCAUGUCCAUUUUUUUGAAAAAAGAAAAGGGAAAAAAUCUUAUUAGAGAUAUUCGAUUAGUUCACCACAGUAUAUAAAUCAUCUUUGUCCCAUGAACCAAAUUAACAUAAAAAUAACGGGACAAAAAUACAAAAGGAGAGACUUUUGCCAGGCUUUGGAAUCACAAUUUGUAUGAAUGUCUAAUUAUUUAAAUUUAGUUUUUCAGAGCAUAAGACGUAUAAUUUAGGGAAUAACUUAAUUAAAUUACUACCACCUAAAUUACCCCCACUAAGAACAAGGUUAUGUGUAAUUAUAGCAUGGUAAUUUAAUUCUAAGAACCAAUGACUAAUAUUUCAAAAUAUAAACAAAGAGAAUUAAAUAAUAUGCAAUAUUACUCAAUUAAUAUACCAAGUAUGCUAUAAACACAUUAAAAGGCUUCCAAAUUUUUUUCAAUAUUAGCUUAUCAUCAUAAAAGGAUACUGUAUUUUUCUGAUUUUUUUUGAUAAUUAUGCUAAUUAUUAUAAUUAAUUAAUCAUUGCAUAAUUAAUUAGAAAUUAACCAAAAUACCCAAAUAUAUCAAUUUCUUCCCAAAAAAUUUACAACAAUAGCUUAACAUCGUAAAAAGAGUAUUGUAAUUUUCUUGGAAUUUUUCUGAUAAAUUUGUUAAUUUUCACAAUUAAUUAACCAUCGUAUAAAUAAUUGGAAAUUAACCAAAAUAACCAAAUGUAUUAAUUUCUUUCGAAAUCUUUACAACACAUCAUAAAAAGAGUACUAUAAUUUUCCUGGAAUUUUUCUGAUAAAUUUGCUAAUUUUUAUAAUUAAUAAAUCAUUGCUUAAUAGAUUGUAAAUUAAACAAAAACUAUCCAAAUAUAUUAAUAUUUUAAAAUUUUAGUAGAAACAGUAAUUAUAUGCUAAUAAUUAAUUUUUGUAAAUUUUCAGAAUUAAAUAAUCAUUAUAACUAUUUUUUAAUUAAUUUCCAUGAAUUUAUUAAUUAUUAAAACAAUUUCUGAAAUUAAAAUAAAAAAUAAUUAAAUCUGUUGGACCGGGUCGAGGUGCAGGUCAAGACCGGAUCGCAGAUCUGGAGUGGGUCGGAUUGGGCGAACCAAUCAACAGGUCAAAUCAAUCGGGCGCGUGAGCCACACACACUAAAUAAGCAGCAGCCGCGCAUGGGCAACGCAGCGCUCCAGCGCGUGUGAGCUCCACGCGCUGCCUUCCCGACAGUUCUUUGUAGCGGUGAUUGCACAGUUCUAAUCGACUCCUUUUUCCAAGUCCAAUGGUAUGCUCAAACUCUAUUUUAAGAGCUUUCAUGAGGGAGGUGUAGUGCAUAUAUUUCUGUCCAAGACUGAAACUUGCACUUCUCUUUCAACCUUUAGAAUCUAAAAAUUUUCAGAUUUACCCUUUCCUGAUUCAAAUUUUGAGAAGCCAUAUCUUAGUCCAUAUAACUCCGAUUUAAUCACAUAAUAUAUCAUUGGAAAGCUUACAACGGAUAAUCACAUAAAAAGUUAUCCGUACUAAUUAAUAUUAUUAUUUUUUAUGCAUUUAAUCGUGAUCAACUUAUAUGAGUGAUUUCACUGAUUUUUUUGGUGAGUAGCUGGUUUAACUUACCAAAGGUUCAUAUAUUUUAUUUAGAAGAGUUUUGUAAUUUUAUUUGGAAAUAGUAACCUAUAAAUAAAGGAUAAGAUCCAAGUGUGAGAGGUUGUGUCUAAUGGGGAAAAAGGUUAUUUAUUUUGUUUUUUUAUGUUACAUAAAAGUGAAAUGAAAUAAAUGUUUAAAAAUUAAUAAUAGAGUAAGUAGUUGCAAACAAACAAACAAACAAAAGAUGCAUCUUUUUCUUUAGCAAUUUAUACUUUUAUAUUUUAAUUUUUGGGGAGAACUUGGGAGAAGAGACCAAAUUAUUAACAAAUUUUUUGGAAAACCCUAUAUUUAUUUCUAUUAAUAAAGCCUUCAACUUUUAAACUAAUUUCUAUCUAUACAUUAUUCUCUUUACUAUUCACACAUUCUACUCGGCUUACUUAUCUCUCCGCUACUCUCACAUUUUACUCUUACAUACCGACUUAUCUCUCUCUAUAUAUUUUUCUUUUUAUUAAUUAUUAUUUAAAAAAUUACAUUCAGGUGAGUGUUUGCUCAACAAACUAGUUUAUUAUAAAGCAUUUUACUAAUGAUAUUAUCGGAUAUAUUUUACGACUUUAGAAUGAAAUAGAAGAAUAAAUAAAAUAAAAAUAGUGUAUUUUAUAAUUAUUUUGGAGGAUAAAUUAUUUCAAAUAUACACUUAAAAAUAUUUUAAAAUUAUUUAAUUUUGUCCUCCAUUUCAUUCAUUCAAUCCAAAUACGGCAACAUGAGAGUCCAUAUUUGUUUUUUGGCACUUGAAGCCAUUAAAAUUUAACAGACUUUCUAUUAAAAUUCAUAAACUGGUAUUGCCUGGCCCUUUACUGGUUCGUGCUUCCAUUUCCUUAUGCAGAGUUUUGAAAAUGUUCACGGGCUUAUAACUUUUAAGUGACAUAUAAAAUAUGCUCUAUUCGCGAACUCCUUAAAACCGAGAAUUCGAGCCGUUGAUGGCACAUUCAAAUCAAUCUUUUUUCAAUCAAAUUCUUCAAUACACCCAAAUCAAGAACCUCCCAAAAGGCAAAACCUUGCAUGGCCAAAUCAUCAAGACUGGUAAAUCUUCCUGCACGUAUCUCGCCAGCAGCCUCGUCAACUUCUACGCCAAAUGCGAGCACUUACCCGAAGCCAAUCUCGCUUUCGAAGAAAUACAAGACAAAGACAUUGUCUCAUGGAAUUCCCUCAUCAAUGGCUACUCUCAACUGGGUGGGUCUCAAAAUUCAAUCUUUGUUAUGAAACUUUUCAAACGCUUAAGGAGGGAAAAUGGGUUGUUCCCAAAUGGUCAUACUCUUUGCGGCGUUUUCACUGCCGCGUCGAUUUUGUUAGACCCAUUUGGUGGGCAGCAAGCUCACUCGCUUGCUAUAAAGAUUGCGAGUUGUGAUGAUGUAUUUGUGGGUAGUUCUUUGGUUAAUUUGUAUUGUAAGUCCGGUCUUGUUUAUGAUGCUCGCAAGGUGUUUGAUGAAAUGCCUGAAAGGAAUUCGAUUACUUGGAGUACGAUGAUUUCUGGGUAUGCUAUGCAGAGGCUUGCUGGUUAUGCUUUGGGACUUUUUAAAAUGAUGUUGUGGGAAGAGGAGGAAGGUGUUAAUGAGUUUGUGUUGACUAGUGUUCUUAGUGCUUUUACAUUGCGUGAAUUUAUUGAUGUUGGUAGACAACUUCAUGGACUUGUGAUCAAAUUUGGGAUUUUAUCGGUUGCAUCUGUUGGGAAUGCUAUUGUUACAAUGUAUGCAAAGUGUGGGAACUUGGAUGACGCGUUUCAGUCGUUUGAGUUGGCGAGUGAUAAGAACUCUAUUACGUGGACGGCAAUGAUCACUGGUUUCGCACAAUCUGGGGAUUGUGAAAAGGCGUUGACUUUAUUCUCCAAAAUGCAUUUUGCUGGCAUGAAGGCUAGUGAGUUUACCCUUGUUGGAGUCCUGAAUGCUUGCAGUGAUAGUGGUGGCGGGAAAAAAGGAAAGCAAGUCCAUGGAUAUCUUGUAAAGUCGGGAUUCGAAUCACAAAUUUAUAUAAUGACAGCUUUAGUUGACAUGUAUGCUAAAUGUGGUUGUAUCGAUGAUGCUAGGAAGGGGUUUUAUUAUUUACGAGAACCUGAUAUGGUCUUGUGGACUUCCAUGAUCGGAGGGUAUGUUCAAAAUGGGGAGAAUGAAAGUGCUAUGGACUUGUAUUGUAAAAUGCAAAUUGAGGGUAUAUUGCCCAAUGAGUUGACUAUGGCCAGUGUCUUAAAAGCCUGUUCUAGUCUUGCUGCUUUUGAGCAAGGAAAACAGAUACAUGCCCAUACCAUCAAGUUUGGAUUUGGUCUUGAAGUUCCAAUUGGAAGUGCUCUGUUAACUAUGUAUGCAAAGUGUGGAAGUCUUGAAGAUGGAAACCUCAUCUUCAGGAGGAUGCCUGCAAGGGAUGUCGUGUCAUGGAACUCAAUGAUUUCCGGUGUUUCUCAAAAUGGACUUGAUGAUGAAGCGCUUGAACUUUUUGAAGAGAUGCGACUAGAGGGCACAAAACCAGACAGUGUUACUUUUGUCAACGUUCUCACUGCUUGUAGCCAUAUGGGCUUUGUAGAUAGAGGUUGGGCUUAUUUCAAGAUGAUGUCUGAUGAAUUUGGUAUUGUUCCAAGACUGGAGCACUUUGAAUGCAUGGUUGAUAUUCUGAGCCGUGCCGGGAAGCUCUACGAAGCAAAAGAGUUGAUUGAAACGGCAACUUCAGAUCAUGGUCUCUGUUUGUGGCGCAUUUUGUUAAGUGCCUGUCGGAAUUACCGUAAUUACGAACUGGGGGCUUAUGCAGGAGAAAAAUUGAUGGAGUUGGGCUCAGAAGAAUCAUCUGCUUAUGUAUUGUUGUCUAGUAUUUAUACAGCGUUGGACAGGCGGGAAGAUGUGGAACGAGUAAGAAAGAUGAUGAACCUUCGACGGGUGAGCAAGGAGCCUGGGUGUAGCUGGAUUGAUCUGAAGAAUCAUGUGCAUGUGUUUGUUGUUGGAGACCAAUUGCACCCCCAAAUUAAGGAAAUACGGGCUGGUUUACUAAGGUUAAGCAAGCUAAUGAAGGAUGAAGGUUAUGAACCUGCUUCUGAUAUAAGCUUAUUAGCGGGUUUUGAAGGCUGGGAUGACAAAGAUAUUAUUGUACCCACGGGCACACUAACUUAAUCAUUUUGUAGCUGAUUCUUUUAUAUAUUUUUUAUAGUCCGCAAGUAUAACUGAACUUGGGUGUAACUUUGUCUAUAUAUACUGCCCCAAGGUUUAUGAUAUUAAUCACAAAAUUUUGCAAAAAUACCAUUGAAAAAAAUCAGUCUCGUGCUUUCCUUCUCUGUGACGUUUUGUGUCUGUGGCCUGCUAGAUGUUACUCUGGAAAGUGAAGUAUAAAAAUAAAUGAUGCACCUUGUUAUAAUUCCCAGUGGAAACUAACCGUGCAUGGCGAAGGUCUGAAAGAUGGCCAUGUUUCAAUGUUGGACAAAACUACUGCCUUUUGGAGAUCUGGAACUGCAGACUGCUUCUGUUUCACCUUGAUCCUAGCUUUAAAUGAUCUUGAUAUUGUUAUGUCUCUGUUACAACAACAAAAUAAUACUCCAAAGUCUGUUAUAAUAGAAGUUGCUUAUGUACUACAUCUAGGAUUAGUACAAGUGCUCAAAGAAAAAAAGGUAAUAACAUACUUUGGAAUGUUUUAGGUGUGGGAACGGCCCAGAGUUUUUCCUUGUUGCUGAAAAUAGUAUGAUGUAUAUGUCAGUCCUAGAUGAGCAGUUUUUCUCACAGCAUAUGCUUUGC